rfam:Crassostrea gigas strain 05x7-T-G4-1.051#20 contig28966, whole genome shotgun sequence.
CCCGUGAUAGCUCAGUUGGUAGAGCGGAGGACUGUAGUGGUAGAUAACUGUCAUCCUUAGGUCGGUGGUUCAAAUCCGCCUCGCGGGA